AUUUUUUUUUUUAAUAAAACAAUAUAACUUAUGGCUAAAUGAGUUACGCCUCCCCCCUCCAUACGCGCCACUGAGCGCCAACACACCACACCAACACGAUCCACAAGAAGACUCCACCCACUAACACACACCAUCACACCACGCAGACAUCACACCCCACACAUACACAUCACAUCACACAACUCUACACAACUCAACCUUCAAAAGGGGCUAACAGAGGACAAAACGGCUCCCUUUUUCGUUAGCGAUCAAACCGAAGAGACGUACGAGACAUUCCGCCCGUGCUACCCUUUUGUAUACGCCGUGUUUUUAUUUUAAAGUGAAAAAGUUGAUCCGGCAAAGUGUUUCGAGAUAUGCGCGUAAGAUUUUUUUAACUGAGCGUAAUCGGCACCAAAACCAUAAACUCGUUUUUCUCGAAAUGCUGUUUUUAGAGGCGCUGUGGAAAUGUUCUCCGAACUGGCUUCACCGAUUGAUUUGAAAUUUUUGCACAACCUUCUUAGAUAUUUUUCUCAGAUUUGAGGUGAUGUUAAGCAGAAAAAUUUUCCUCACCGUCUACUACCUUUUUUCCGGAAGACUGUCUGGAGAUCGGCUACGGGAUCAAGGGAAUCCGAAAUUUUCACCGACUAUGAAAAUGCAAUCAAUUCUGUAAAUACUUACCUUUUUAUUUAUAUAUUAAAUAAAAUUCUUUUUCAAAAAAAUCGCAAAAGAAAAACAACGAGUUGGGCUCUCUCUAUAUGUCGACAUGAAUAUUAACAACUUUAAUUUGUCGCACAGCGUAUUUAAAACAACAGCUGAAUACUUUAUUUAAUAUUUAUUAUCAUUGUAAAAUUAAAAUAUUGAAUUAUCAGAACUCAUUAAUUUAGUUAUUUAUGACCAAAAAAUUUUAUUAAAAUAAAUCACAUAUUUAUAUACAGCUACACAUGAAAAACAAGUUCUUGAGCGAUAUUUGUAAGUAAAUAAGUAAGCGUAAAAACUAAUUUUUUGUCAUGACCAAAAAAGCUGCUAUCGCGAAACAAUAAAAAUCUGUCACGGCAUAGCACUUGAAAAUUAUGAAAGCGAAAGUGCAAGCAGUUUUGUUCAAAAUUAAAUAAAUAUUUCCACAAUGUAUUAUAAAAAACGUUCACCGAAAAGUUAUGACUAAAAAAUGUAAAUGAAUAUAGUAUUAAUACACACACUCGAAUAUAUAUAAAUACAUGGCCCUAAAAGCUCUGCUCCAAAUCAAUUAAGCGGUCAAAGUCAAUAACAUGAGCGCGUCGCUCAGCGUCAAUACAAAAAAAAAAUGGCAUUACACUAGCACAUAAAAUUGUUCAUACAUAAAUAUGUAUGUGGAAAUUAUAAAAUCACAAAUGUGUUGGCGUUUAGCACGCGUAGCCAAUUAAAAAUAAAAAGUGUCAAGCACUAGCUUCCGAUUGUUCUGUUUAUAUGGCAGCUACAUGCUAUAGUGAAUAAAUCUGAACAGUUUUUUAUGGGCUGGCAUUAUUGCUUUAGACAAUAAUUCAUGCCAAAUUUAGUGCACAUAUCUCCUCAAAUAAAAAACCUAUUUUAUACAAGCACCUGAUUCCGAUCGUUCAGUUUGUAUGGCAGCUAUAUGCUACAGUGAUCAGAUAGAGACAGAGAAACGGACAUGGGUAAAUCGACUUAGCACGUAGCAUUUGUUAUAAACCAUAAUCCCCUUAAGUAUAUGUGAAAAGAAGCGAAAUCGCUCUAAAUCACGCCUGCUUCCCUUAUAUUGACAUUAUUCGCUACCUAAGUCAUUAAUAAAUAUAAUAUAAUGCCCAACUAUGACCUUCCAAACCUUCCUAAAAUACCCUUGUAUCAAGUGUGAGGAUUUCUUAUAGCAAAUGUUUCGUACAGUAUAACAGAUCUAUUAAAAUUAAAUAAACAUUUUAGAUUAAGUAUAGUGUAUUUUGUACU